UGUGUUCUAGGUUCCGCUGCUGGCACGAUUGUUCUGACACGCGCACUACAGUUCCUUCUUUGCGUUUGUUUAAAACUAGGUAGCAUACGCAGGUCUGACCGAAGCGGAUCGUGAACGCUCAGGCGUCCGUCUUCCCCUGCUGCACUUGUAGACUGGAUAUGAGAUUCAGAGAGCCAUUUUCGGUACUUCUCCUUGUACACUACCUUACGAUCACGGAAUGCAAGCUGCCGUCUCUGAAGAAGACUUACAAUAUCAGAAAGUGCAGGGUCCUCAAGAAGAACUUCGCUGUACGAAAUCGCCAGAAACCACACCGAAGAAUUACCAUACGCUUCUGGAACAAUAUUUUACCAGCGGAGCUGUUUAAGACCAAGUUUUUGUGGACGAAAACACCUAUAUGGACAUACGCAACGUCAGGAAAUGGUCAUUGUUUGUGUCAACUAGAUAAAAUGAAACAGGAAGAAGAAAGAAUAAUUGAGUACAAGCAUUACUAUCUGGACAAAAGGUUUCACAGGCACUACAUCGUAAUGGUGGGAAUGUUCGACAAGAAGGAUACAAUAUAUGUUCACCCUUACGGUACUAGAUACAAAAUAAAGGAGGAACUACUAUAUAGUGAUAAAGCAUUUGGGUGCGGUGUUAUAAAGAUCUUAUCAAUGUCGUCAUUUCAAGGUCAUAUGAACCAUUACGAAGUGCGAGUCUGGAACAGCUCCAAUGUACCCAUGGCUGCAAGAGCCUGUCUUCCAGUAUUAGCAAAGCAAAAGAUUCGAGUGCACAUUAUUUACAAAGAGAUGUGCCAGAAUAUGUAUCUACAAGGACAAUCUAAAAAUCAACGGCCUAUUCAAGGACAAAUACCUGGACAGAUUGCUUUCUGUAAUAAUGAGAUAUGAACUAGACAACAUCUACACCUAUGCUAAUAUCCGUCAAAAUUGUAUGCCCCGUAUUGCUUUGCGUAUUGCUUCGUUUCAACUCGUACAAAAGCUGAAGAACGAUUAGCAGGAGCACAGUAUUAUUAAUCAUGUGAGCAAACAUUAUUUCUCUUCAGCACUGACCAAACAAAUAAAAAUGAUCAGUCAAGAUAAUGAACUCUGCAGUGACAAAUAGAAACAUGUAUAAUCACAUCAGUUGGAGACAGCGGUGAUUAUAAGAAAAACGUGGUCCUGCUUCGACACCGCAUGCUUCGGAGGAGAGGGGCGGAGACGUGGGAGCAGAAGCACUGUAUUACCCACCACGUCGGAGUAUCCAUGUAUCAUCAAAGAUUAAACAGUGUCAUGAGUAAUUUAAAAUCACCGAAGCUUACUGAAAAAGAUUACAGAGCUCUGUAAUAGCAUUUGGAUUCUGUACAGUUAGCCAAUUUACAAUGCCAAAUAUAUAAAUUUGCUGCAUGCCUAUCGGGAGUUUCAUGUAAUUUAAAUUGAAGAUACUUAUUAUGAUGUGUGUGGUUCUUUACAGGUGAAUAGACCCAUUUCAUAAAUACGCCACUUGGCGGUGGACUUUUCGUCGGUUUCAAUUAUGCAAAAAAUUCUGGGAUAGAAUUCGCCAUGUUUAUGGCCAGGGGAUGUGUCCGUAUACGUGCGCCUGUGUAGACUGUCCGUGCGAGGUGGCAGCCGGCUGAAUCUGUCUCCGAUAUCACUGCGCACCUUGCUGUGCGGUGUCAAGUUGACGAACAUCUAAGGGAACAUAAGGGCACGUUAAAGAUUGGCACGGGAAGCACCUUGGAACUUCAUUGCAUAAAACAGUGCGAGUCAGCCCACUGCGCAUCUGACCUGGAGAGGACGCGUGUACUUAAAAGAUACAGAAGAAAACGAGAGCGUGAGUUAUUUGAAGCGUAUGUAAUGACUAAGUUGGGGAGCACAUGCAUCAGUAAGACGUCCCUUGACCUAUUUUCAUGUGAAAUAGACUAUCUCGGAGAUUAGUGGAGUGAGCAAUCUUAUCUGGUUUUAUCUGGUUUUACUAUGUGGCAGUGUUAUUGGUAACACGUGGUGCUUUUCAUAGCUUUAUAUUUGCAAUCGACGCAAAAUAAAGUUCAGUUGAGAGCGCGCCUAUUUCUUGUCAUCUUCUU